AGGGAGACUGCAGAUAAUGCAGCUUGCUUGAAUAGUUGGCAAAAAAUUAGAGUUCAGUGACUUUUGUCAGAUGAGGAAUGAGGCGUUAACAAUCAGUUCUCAACUUUGAGGAUGUUAUGAAUGAUUGUUUGCAAGCUUUUGUCAAUUUAUAUUAGAAAAAUAGGAAAACAAUGCAGUUAUCCUCGAGUAGCUCAACACAAUAAGGGAUUUUGGCUGAAAGAAGAGGAAAUCUUCAGCCAUCCAUGUCACAUAAAUAUCUAAAAUAGUAGAAUUUGGUAAUUUUCAAAGCAAAAAGGAGUUCCAGGAAGUCAUGUGCAGGUCCAAUUUAUAUUAGUUUUGGAAGCUCAGACACACUAAGAGAGCUGACAGUGCAAUGUAUGAAAAAGGCAAAGUGAUGAAGGAAGAAAAUCCACUAAAAUAUGAGAUAAGUUCUUUUGGUGACCUAAGGUCUGUUUUUUUGUUAUGCAGACAUAGAAAUCAUUUGGGUUGUUCAAUCUUGAUUCCCUUACAAGGCUGAGCCUGGAAGAGAUUGUUUUAAUCAUACUGGUUGAAAUCAUCAGCAUGAUUCAUACAAGCCACAUUAUCA
rnacentral:lncRNA from 1 species